AUGUUCCCCAUGUUCCAGGAGCUUGCACCACACGACCGACACGACAAGUGUGGUCACCACUAUGCGGUCUGUCUUGACCUGAAGAACCAACGUAUCGAGGUGGUUGAUUCAAUCCGUUCGGAAGCUGAUGCAGACCUUACUACGCAUGCCGAAUUCUUCAUCAAGAACCUCAAAGAGACUUGGAACCGUCACUACGAACAUUCAAAGGUCCAGAUCAGGCAUUUCCCGACUGAGUAUGUGGCGACUGUGAAGCAAGGGAACACGGACUGUGGCUUUCACGCGCUGGAAUACUUUGCAAAGUGGGAAGGCAGAAUUGUCCCCGCUAUCACAGAUGCAACGGUCGUUGAGCUCUGA
rnacentral:rRNA from 1 species